rnacentral:rRNA from 1 species
AAGAGGGGGACCUUCGGGCCUCUCACUAUCGGAUGAACCCAGAUGGGAUUUGCUAGUAGGCGGGGUAAUGGGCCACCUAGGCGACAAUCCCUAGCUGGGCUGAGAGGAUGACCAGCCACACUGGAACUGAGACACGGUCCACACUCCUACGGGAGGCGGCAGUGGGGAAUAUUGCGCAAUGGGCGCAAGCCUGAUGCACCCAUGCCGCGUGUGUGAAAAAAGCCUUCUGGUUGUAAAGUACUUUCAGCGGGGAGGAAGGCGAUGUGGUUAAUAACCCCGUCUAUUGACGUUACCCGCAGAAAAAACACCGGCUAACUCCGUGCCAGCAGCCGCGGUAAUACGGAGGGUGCAAGCGUUAAUCUGAAUUACUGGGCGUAAAGCGCACGCACGCGGUCUGUUAAGUCAGAUGUGAAAUCCCCGGGCUUAACCUGUGAACUGCGUUUGAAACUGGCAGGCUUGAGUCUUGUGUAGGGGGGUAGAAUUCCACGUGUAUCGGUGAAAUGCGUAUAGAUCUGGAGGAAUA